rnacentral:rRNA from 1 species
CAGCCGCCACGGGAAUACGUAGGGUGCAAGCGUUAAUCGGAAUUACUGGGCGUAAAGCGUGCGCAGGCGGUUUUGUAAGUCUGUCGUGAAAUCCCCGGGCUCAACCUGGGAAUGGCGAUGGAGACUGCAAGGCUAGAAUCUGGCAGAGGGGGGUAGAAUUCCACGUAUAGCAGUGAAAUGCGUAGAUAUGUGGAGGAACACCGAUGGCGAAGGCAGCCCCCUGGGCUAAGAUUGACGCUCAUGCACGAAAGCGUGGGGAGCAAACAGGAUUAGAUACCCCAGUAGUCCCUGUCUCUUAUAC